UCCUCCCUAGCUCAGUUGGUUAGAGCAUCUGACUGUUAAUCAGAGGGUCGCUGGUUCAAGUCCAGCGGGGGGAGCAA
rnacentral:tRNA from 3 species